rnacentral:misc_RNA from 2 species
AACGCAAAUUGCACUUUCUGGUAUUCCGGAAAGUAUGCCUGUUUGAGGGUCAGUUAAAUAAAAAUCGGUGUUGUUGCUACCCGUAGUGGUGUGGUUAAUGCAUCGGAAUUGAGUUGUCUUUACCUUUUUUGGUUAAGUGACUUAAAAUUAUGUACGAUUUUUGAACGUAUUUAAAUUAUUUAUGUAUGUUCAUAAUAAUCAAAUAUUAGGUGCGGUCAUUCUCAUGAUUACGCGUCUAUAAAUUUUCAUUAUUUGACCUCAAAUCAGGUAAGAAUACCCGCUGAACUUAA